AUAAUUAAUUUUUUUGGGUUGGUUAUUCUGAUUGUCAACGAAGAAGUGUCAAAAAAAAGUAAGCUUAACCUCACUUUUUGAAAUAAUAUUUUAUUUGUAGGUUUGAAUCGAGAUUUAACACGCAAUUCGAAUUUGGAGGACGUUUAUUACAAAUUUGAAUCGAGAUUUAACACGCAAUUCGAAUUUGGAGGACGUUUAUUACAAGUUUGAAUCGAGAUUUAACACGCAAUUCGAAUUUGGAGGACGUUUAUUACAAG